rnacentral:lncRNA from 1 species
UAGGUGAAUUGUUUGAGAAUGCUUAAGCUUAAAAUCUUUAUAUUUGAAUACAAUGUAGGUGCCCACUAUAUACUGCUUUAGGAUGAUUUUGGCAAUCAUUGGAACUGCUAUGUUGCCAUGGAUACUACACCAAAAAUUUCAAAAAUAUGAAAAUGCUCCAAUUUUUUUGAAACUUUAGCAUAACGAUGAGCAACUUUGGUAGAUGUGGAAUUUGGCGUUGGAAUUUCCAAAAUGUCUGCCGUUUCCAUGGAAACAAUGCAAAAAGGUCAAAAUGCUCCAAAAACUUCAGGGUUUGGUGAAUAACUUUGAUAUGCAUGAACUUAAAAUCAUCAAAUUUUAAUGCAAUAUAGUUGUCCACUAUAUCCAGGUUUUGAAUGAUUUUGACAAUCAUUGGAACUACUAUGUUACCAUGGAUACAGGAUCAAAUAUUUCAAAAAUUUCAAAAUGCUCCAAAAUUAAUGAAACUUAAUAUGAUUGUUGACUGUCAA